UCUGGAAGAGAGGACAGUGAGUGUGCAGUGUGUUUAGCAAUUGUUGCCAUAAUUCUAAGCCAAUAAAGUGUGUUCAGUGGAGAGGACGGCAAGGUUGUGCUAUUUUUAGCGGGUCCUACCGUAAUUCUAAGCCUAGGAAGUGUCUGUGUGUCAGGUGGUGAGGACA